AAAGAAGUGAGUCACACCCCUGUUGCACGCC
rnacentral:piRNA from 1 species